GCCGGGGGUGGUGGUGCACGCCUGUAGUCCCAGCUACUCAGGAGGCUGAGGCAGGAGAAUCACUUGAACCCAGGAGGCGGAGGUUGCAGUAAGCCAAGAUUGCGCCACUGCACUUCAGCCUGGGUGACAGAGUGAGACUCUGUCUCAA
rfam:Pan troglodytes isolate Yerkes chimp pedigree #C0471 (Clint) chromosome 4, whole genome shotgun sequence.